rnacentral:rRNA from 1 species
UAGGGAAUCUUCCGCAAUGGACGCAAGUCUGACGGAGCAACGCCGCGUGAGUGAAGAAGGAUUUCGGUUCGUAAAACUCUGUUGUUAGAGAAGAACAGCGCAUAGAGUAACUGUUAUGCGUGUGACGGUAUCUAACCAGAAAGCCACGGCUAACUACGUGCCAGCAGCCGCGGUAAUACGUAGGUGGCAAGCGUUGUCCGGAUUUAUUGGGCGUAAAGCGAGCGCAGGCGGUCAAUUAAGUCUGAUGUGAAAGCCCCCGGCUCAACCGGGGAGGGUCAUUGGAAACUGGAAAACUUGAGUGCAGAAGAGGAAAGUGGAAUUCCAUGUGUGGCGGUGAAAUGCGCAGAGAUAUGGAGGAACACCAGUGGCGAAGGCGACUUUCUGGUCUGUAACUGACGCUGAUGUGCGAAAGCGUGGGAAUCAAACAGG